rnacentral:lncRNA from 1 species
UUUUUUUUUACGUAGAAACCAUUCUUAGCUUGCAAGCUGUACAAAAACAGAUGCCGGGCUAGAUUUUAGUCCAUGGGCUAUAGUUUGCCAACUCUUGCUGUAUAACCACUUUUGUAAAUUAAGUCAGCUUUGAGAGUCUUAGCAUGAGUUUACGUCAUGUGAUGCCCAUUCCCAAAGUUAAAAUGUUUAACUGAAAAUACUUACAUUUAAGUCAUUGGUGGGUAGAUUAAUAAUGCCGGCAACUCAGAAAUAUUAAGCAAAACUGUUCACAAGAACAAAAACACUCCCACUCCCCGUGCUGUAUUUUUUCACGAAAUAAAAAGAAGACUUUGUUUUGUUGGUUUGAGGGCCAAACAUUCCUGAAGUGACACGUAAAAGCCACUUGGCAAAGAAAAACAUUAUUAACAAGUAGAUGUGAAAUUUUGGAGUUGUGAUAAAGAGUGGUCUUCUAUAAUUUUCUCGCUUCGAGUUUUUUGGAAUCUAGCAGCAGUCUUCAGAAGGAAGGCACAAGAUCACAUUCAUUUCUAAUUUACACUGAAAAGAAGCCACACGGAAUUGGUUCAUUGAACCUGUUCCUCAAGAGACCUAGUGUCUGCUCAGCAGCUAUUGUGACCUCAGCCAGCCGUGCUGCCUGCUCUUUAGCCACGCUAGCGAUGAAAAUGGACAUUACACCCCUGAGGCCCUCCACCUUCCAUCUCAGAGUUGUAGAAGAACCUGCAACAGCGAUUGUCAGCUUGAGGGCUGAAUACUCAAGAAUGUUCAUGGAAGAAGUAUUGUUUUCAGGCAGAGGUCACCAUGAAGUCAACCACUGCGGUUUCUGACAUCCUUCUCCAGCUCUGUGCUGCAUAGAUCCUGAACAUCAUCCUUUUUCCUUAUUUGACUUUGCAGCCCCCUAAAACUCCCUUGAAUUCACUUUUUUCUAGGGGACGUAAUCUUGCACCCUCUUCAUUCAAGGCUAAAAGAUGGAGGGUCAGGGCAGGAGGAGGAACCGAGAAGGAGAAUGAGGAGUAAGAGUUGGGCAUCAGAUAGGAUUUUCUCUAAAUAAUGGUGCAUAGACUUCUUUUUCUCCAGAUCCCAUGGCUUCCCACAUCUAGCUCAGAACUGAGAGAUGGGAGAAUUCAUUUGUGUCCAGGCUAAGCUGUCAGUGAGAAAAUGCUGGAGUCACUGAGCAAAUGUCACUGCUGCCUGUACUGGCUGGCACUUGAACCUUACAACUAAGCAGUGUUUCAUACUGCCUUACAAACCAACUGUUUCCUCACUACUUAACACAAACUUAUUAAACUGAAAAACAAAUCUUUGUAAAAUAGUAAAUCUCCAUAACGGCACAUGAUAUGGCUCUCUUGCACUUCACUUUGAGAAUUUCAAACAGGAAUCGAGUAACCAUCUUUUAUAGGAAAG